AAUCAGGUAAAAGUCUUGAACUAUUUUAUCCUGGAAAACCUCCAAUCAGCUCUUCACCCUUCUUCUGAUACACAGCCAUGCUGCAGAAAGAUCCAGAGUGGUGAUGCACUGAACUGAAUUUUCCUGCUCUACUGCACAGAGGUUCUCUGCUGACACAUAAACCUUUUAUUGAUGCAAAAACGUGCAGAAUUCCCCCUGGAAAAAGGAUACCAAAACUGGGGAAAGGCAGCAGCAGGAUGGAAGGCUGCCGAGAUCGUCGUGGUGGCUCCUGCAGUCACAAGACUGGCUACAGGGCACUUACGAAUAUGGCGCUGCCAGAGAUCUUUAAAAGUGCUGCGUGCCAAAACACGAGGAUCCGUCCAGCAGCAUUUACCCCGGCAGUGACUAGCGCGGAACAGUGUGCUGGGGUAUCGGCUCAACAAGAGGAUCACCUCCUGAAUCACCUUAGUUGGAAGGGGUGAACUGAACACGGUUGAAUCUCAUAUUAGAGGCUGGAGAUACUCCAACUCAAACUACUAUCUGGGCCAGAACCCUUGCUCCAUGCAGGUCAACUGUGAAGAUUCAGUAAGGAGGCAUUUAAGGAGCUGACUGACUCCUAUAGAAGGUCAUGUAAUCAAGUGUGUGUGUGUGUGUGUGUGUGUGUGUGAGAGGGGGUAAUAAAUUAC